AUUGAACGCUGGCGGCAUGCUUUACACAUGCAAGUCGAACGGCAGCGCGGGCUUCGGCCUGGCGGCGAGUGGCGAACGGGUGAGUAAUGCAUCGGAACGUGCCCAGUAGUGGGGGAUAGCCCGGCGAAAGCCGGAUUAAUACCGCAUACGACCUGAGGGUGAAAGCGGGGGACCGUAAGACCUCGCGCUAUUGGAGCGGCCGAUGUCGGAUUAGCUAGUUGGUGGGGUAAAGGCUUACCAAGGCGACGAUCCGUAGCUGGUCUGAGAGGACGACCAGUCACACUGGGACUGAGACACGGCCCAGACUCCUACGGGAGGCAGCAGUGGGGAAUUUUGGACAAUGGGGGCAACCCUGAUCCAGCCAUGCCGCGUGUGGGAAGAAGGCCUUCGGGUUGUAAAGCGCUUUUGUUCGGGAGGAAAUGCUCUGGGCUAAUACCCCGGGGGGAUGACGGUACCGGAAGAAUAAGCACCGGCUAACUACGUG
rnacentral:rRNA from 1 species